rnacentral:rRNA from 1 species
UAGGGCGAAAUAGUACGUGGUCGUAGACCCGAAACCAGGUGAUCUACCCAUGUCCAGGAUGAAGGUGAGGUAACACUUACUGGAGGUCCGAACCCACGCACGUUGAAAAGUGCGGGGAUGAGGUGUGGGUAGCGGAGAAAUUCCAAUCGAACUUGGAGAUAGCUGGUUCUCUCCGAAAUAGCUUUAGGGCUAGCCUCGUGAUUAAGAAUACUGGAGGUAGAGCACUGUUUGGACUAGGGGGGCAUCUCGCUUUACCGAAUUCAGACAAACUCCGAAUGCCAGAUAUUUAUACACGGGAGUCAGACUGCGAGUGAUAAGAUCCGUAGUCAAAAGGGAAACAGCCCAGACCACCAGCUAAGGUCCCAAAGUAAUCGUUAAGUGGAAAAGGAUGUGGCGUUGCUUAGACAACCAGGAUGUUGGCUUAGAAGCAGCCAUCAUUUAAAGAGUGCGUAAUAGCUCACUGGUCGAGUGACGCUGCGCCGAAAAUGUAUCGGGGCUAAACAUUCACCGAAGCUGUGGAUGUACAUCGUAUGAUGUACGUGGUAGGAGAGCGUUCUAAUAGCGUUGAAGUCAGAUCGUAAGGACUGGUGGAGCGAUUAGAAGUGAGAAUGCCGGUAUGAGUAGCGAAACAUGGGUGAGAAUCCCAUGCACCGUAUGACUAAGGUUUCCUG